rnacentral:misc_RNA from 1 species
AUCACAGGGCGGCAUACAGAG